UCUGAAUUUAUCCCGUUAAUUAAGAAACAGAACGUUUUUUUUGUUGUUUUUGUCUUAAUUUGAAAAGACAGGUUUUAUUUUUUUUCUUCUCACGUUACCUGCUGCAGCGUUUCUGUUAGCAGCAGCAAGACGCAAGACGACGAGUGACCAAACAAAAAACAACAACACAAACAGGACAUCGUGUAAUAUGUGGAUUAUAUGAAGCACUUCAUCACCACGAAAGAAACAGGGUUCCUCAAGUAAGUUUGACGCUGAUCCGCGGUUCUGUAUGUGUCUGAGGCUCCCAAUGAAAAUUUGAUCAAGCCUCUCUGAAACGUUCUGCCAAAUGACUGUGGAACAAAGCGCUGCAGUGAAUUUACCCAGUAUCCCAAAGAAGAGCCUUCAGCGGUGCAUACUGUCUGCUGUCACAUUAAAACACAAUCAUCUCUAAAA